CUAGGUUGGCUUUCGUCCUUUUGUGGAGUUUGUCAUCCUUCCAAAAGGAUGCCCACUGCUACUGCUGCGGCUCCCUCUCCGAAGUCCUCUUCCUGGAGUCCCCUCAACCUGGGGCUGUCUAGGCGGCAGCUCCCACCUGGAGGGACACACAGAGAGAUUUUCUUCCUCUGGUGGGCCAACUGAGAAUCACCUGGAAGCCCAAGGACUGUGGGCUCCUGGGAGUGAGAGAUUUGUCCCUUCUGAAAUUAGUCUUGGUAGAAGAGUGGUCUCCAUGGCCAUUCUCAUUGGCAUGAGAAAAGAACUUCGUCAUCUACCACUUCUAGAGGCCGUCUCUCCCCUAGGUGAAGGAGCUUUCUCAGCUGUACAACUGUACUAGUCUCAGGUUGAGAAUCUCCUUUGUAAUUCUCUUGGAACAAGAUUCAUCUCUUCAGUCAAUACAGCCCAGCAGCAGCAGCAGCCUGGCUCCAGCAUCACGUCCAGGAGCCCCAGGAAAAAACGCUUGAUCUCCGUACUCGAGGAUGCAGCGUUUGGACCAUGUCACCAUGGUGCUCUCGGGAAGCAGAGUGAGUUUCCCCGCCAGGCAGAGGUGAGAAGUAAUGAGGAACUAGACCAGGAUUGUGCCUCUGUGAGUGGAGAGAAGGAGAAAGGUACCCAAGAGAUGUGAAGAUAGAAAUGACAAGAUUUGGCAACUGAUCAGACAUGUGGAUUGAGGGAAAGUGAAGAGUUCAUGACUCAUGGGAUGUGAAUCUGAGUUCCUACAAAGAUAGUUCUGCUCUCAACAGUAACUUGGACAUUCAGAAGCUCAGAAAGUUGAUAAAGUGAGUUUGAGAUACCAUCAGGACAUCUAUUGAAAAAUAUCCUAGACGCUUGGUGAUGUAAAAAGAGCAAAACAGAACAGUUCAUGCCCUUAAGGAGCUUGUAGUCUACUGGAAUGUUUACAUCCUUCUUUUAAUUUUCUUUUAUGAGUGAGUGCUGCUUUAUUUUUCUGUUAGUUUUACUGGUACUCUUUCCUUUUUUUUUUAAACAUUUCUCUCACUACUCAAAGUACUAUUUACUCCCUUGUAAUAAAGAUGGCUAAAUAAACCAGAUCAACACAUUGGCUGGAAAUGCUUACGUUUGUCUAGAAAAUAUAGCUUGAAGACAAUCAUCUGACUUGGGACUUUCAGCCAUCCUGGCAGAAACAUCAUCUGUCCCAGAAAGAAGACUGUAGAAAAAGUAAAUUGGGACCUCCAGAAACUAUUCAUUGUCCUGGGCAAGUCACUUAACCCCCAUUACAUAACCCUUACCACUCUUCCACCUUGGAAUCAAUUGAUUCCAAGACAGAAGGUAAGGGUUUAAAAAAAAAUCUAUUUCAGAUCUCACUCCUUUGUUAACUUAGGGCCCCUCCAUUUCUUCCUUCCUCACAUAUUGAACUCUUUAUUACAUUUUUGUUUUUAUCAAUUACAUGUAAUAACAAAUUUCCACACAAGCUUUCUUGUUAUAUGAUUGAACUUAUCGCCUUCCCUUCCUUCCCUUUCCCCCUCCUGGUGCUGGCAGAUAAUUCGAUCUGGGUUAUAUACAUAUAUUAUCAUGCAAAACAUUCCAUCUUGUUCGUUUUUGUAAGUUUAUAGUCUUAGAAAACCAAAACCCCAAAACAUAAGACCAAAUAAACAAAUGAAGAAUCAUAUGCUUUCAUCUGAAUUCUAAUUCCAAUAGUUCUUUCUCUAAAGGUAGCAUUCUUAGUCCUAAGAAUUGUUCUGGAUCAUUGUAUUGCUGAGAGUAGCAAAAUCUAACACAUUUGAUCAUUCUACAAUAUUUCUAAUUCUGUGUAUAAUGUUCUGGUUCUGCUUAUUUCACUCUGUAUCAGUUCAUGAAUGUCUUUCCAGCAUUUUCUGAAAUAGCUCUGUUCUUUAUUCUUUACAGCACAAUAGGAGUAUCCCACCACCAUCCUGUACCACAAUUUGUUCAGCCAUUCCCCAAUUGAGGGACAUCCCUUCCAUUUUCCAAUUCUUUGCCACCACAAAAAGAGCAGCUAUAAAUAUUUUUGUACAAGAAAAUCCUCUCCUUUUUUUUUUUUGCUCUCUUUGAGAUACAAACUUAAUGGUGAUAUUACUGGAUCAGAGGGUAUAUGCCCUAUAGUCAUAAUUCCAAAUUGCCCUCCCAAAUAGUUGUAUCAGUUCACAGCUUUACCAGCAAUGCAUUAAUGUCCUGAACUCUUUUAUGAACAAAUUUAGAGUCAAAGAAAAUCAAAUAACAAAAGUAAUUAUAGCUGACAGCAUGGGUGACUUUCUGCACCUGUAGCCCUCCGCCUCUCUACAGAGAUGAAGUGUUUUUUUUUUCCACUUCCUUUGUUCCCUAGAACCAGAUUAUUUACUGAAUUAAUCUGAAAUCAUUUGCCUUUUAGUGCUGAUUUUGUUACAUUAUUUUUCACUGUGUAUUAUUAUUUUUUUGGUUUUCAGACUUUAGAAGUCUGUAUCAUUUCAUAUAAGCCUGCCCCCCAUCAAUCUUCAUUCAGCCUUGCAUGUUUGAUCUACAACCCAGAUCCUGUCCCUCGGACUCAGCUUCUGACCUGAUUAAUGAGUGUUCAACACAACUAGUUCCUGGAUAGAGAAAUCUGACUUUUCCUAGGACAUCUUCCUGACAUAUACAAUGCAUGUCCCCUCUUCCUCCCAACCCCAAUUUCUAGCCCUAGGAAUAAUAAUAAAAUUAACAAAACAAUUCUUAGAAAGGAUCUGUCAACCAAUUGCCCUAUAAUUCCAAUCCCUAUCCUUGUGGUUAUCCUGACCAAAUCACUGUUUUUUUGACCAAUGCUCCCCUAUGUAUAUUGUCUUUUCCUUUUAGAAUGUAAGCUCUUUGAGAGCAGAGGUUGUAUUGAUUUUUGUAUUUGUAUUCCUUGCAUUUAAUACAAUAAAUGGCACAUAGUAAACUCUUUAAUUUUUUAAAAAACCCUAACUUUCUGUCUUAGAAUUGAUACUAAGUAUCAGUUAUAGGACAGAAGAGAGGGCUGGGCAAUGGGGGUUAAGUGACUUUCCCAGGGUCACACAGAUAGAGAGUAUCUGAGACCAUAUUUGAAUGCAAGACCUGCCCCCUCUAGGGUUAGCUCUCCAUCCACUGAGCCUCCAUCUGCCCCUCUAUAGUAAACUUUUUUUAAAUUUGUUUUUGAGUAAAAAAUAGUUUUAUUUUUGUCAUGCAAAACAUACUUCCAUAUUGAUCAUUGUUGUAAGAGCAAAGUCAUACAUAACCAAAACCCCCAAAUAAAACCAAAAAUACAUAUAGUAAA